rnacentral:lncRNA from 1 species
GGCUGUUAUCAGGCAAACGGGACCCCUACCUCCCUAGCCCGCCCCAUCCCCGCCCCAGCUCCAGGCUCAGGCCCCGCCUUGCCUGUCUUACCACCUGCCUGCAGGUCUGUGGCUGGCUGCUGCCAGAGGAAUUCCAGGCCUCCCCCGCCCCCAUCCCUGAAUAUUUAGUAAGAAGGGAGCGGCCCGGAACUUUGGGCCCAACAUGAAGGACAUUAGUAGGUGUUAGAAAAAAUAGCCAAGUGUGAAAUGAAUUCCUCAACCUCCCAGGCACGCUGGGAUCGUUUGUUUCACCGUCUGACAGUCCCACAGCUAAUAAAUCAAAGAGGACGGCCAGGGCUGGAAGGACCGAAACAGAGCUGGGGCCCGCAGGGACCGCGCUGGCCGCCGGCCUCGCCUCUGUAUCUCCGGCUUCCUGAGGCCUCUGAGUUGGAGGUCUUGACCUCUCAGCACCUGGUCGUCCCCUCUCACAGAGCAGACCUCAGAGAAGGCCAUCAGACGUCACCACCGCCUUCUGGAAACUUGCAAUGGAAAACAGACACACCAGAGGUAGCAUCCGAAAAGACCACAGGAGAUGCCGCGUCCAAUCUCGGUUCCAACAGGGACAGAGGUGAGCAGACCAGCACUUUCUUAAAUGACUCUGGCUGCUGUGCGGAGAAUGGAUGGAAGGCGGAGCCAGUGCAGAGGCCACCACAGAGUGGAGCCUGGGACAUGGGGAGCUGGGCAUGCCCUGGAGACACCCAGGUCUAG